AUCUUACCGGGUCCGGACGUAUCGAGGAUUGACAGAUAGUUAUACAUGCCCUACAAGCAAGUAGGAGUCAGGUUUUAAACCUAAUGGCUCUUUCAUGAUUAUAUGAUAGGUGGUGCAUGGCCGUUCUUAAUUCGUGGAGUGAUCUGUCUGCUUAAUUGCGUUUCAAAUUUUUAACCGAGGACCGGGUUUUGGUUUGGCUAGUGGUCCUACGAUGACUGUGAACUGUCAUGUCUUCGGAUGUACGACUAUCGGUCUAGGAUCACAUGACUUGCCCCUGGGACUCUUUUGAACGCAACGGACGUGAUUGCAACCCCUUGUUGAGAUUAAAGAUAGUCUCGAUAUUCACUGGCCAAACUGGCUGCUUUAUGCAGUCUUGUUGAAUGGUGGAUAAACUCGGGGGACUGCUGACUAUAACCAUUUCUCAAAACAGAGGAAAGUUGCGGCAAUAACAGGUCUGUGAUGCCCUCAGAUGUCCCGGGCU
rnacentral:rRNA from 1 species